rnacentral:rRNA from 1 species
UACGGAGGGUGCAAGCGUUAUCCGGAUUCACUGGGUUUAAAGGGUGCGUAGGUGGGCCCGUAAGUCAGUGGUGAAAUCUCCGAGCUUAACUCGGAAACUGCCAUUGAUACUAUAGGUCUUGAAUUAUCUGGAGGUUAGCGGAAUAUGUCAUGUAGCGGUGAAAUGCUUAGAUAUGACAUAGAACACCGAUUGCGAAGGCAGCUGGCUACAGGUAUAUUGACACUGAGGCACGAAAAGCGUGGGGAUCAAACAGG